CCUACGGGCGGCAGCAGUGGGGAAUAUUGGGCAAUGGACGCAAUCCUGACCCAGCAACGCCGCGUGAAGGAAGAAGGCUUUCGGGUUGUAAACUUCUUUUGUCAGGGACGAAGCAAGUGACGGUACCUGACGAAUAAGCCACGGCUAACUACGUGCCAGCAGCCGCGGUAAUGCGUAGGUGGCAAGCGUUAUCCGGAUUUCAUGGGUGUAAAGGGCGUGUAGGCGGGACUGCAAGUCAGAUGUGAAAACCACGGGCUCAACCUGUGGCCUGCAUUUGAAAAUGUAGUUCUUGAGUACUGGAGAGGCAGACGGAAUUCCUAGGGUAGCGGUGAAAUGCGUAGAUAUUAGGAGGAACACCAGUGGCGAAGGCGGUCUGCUGGACAGCAACUGACGCUGAGGCGCGAAAGCGUGGGGAGCAAACAGGAUUAGAUACCCCUGUAGUC
rnacentral:rRNA from 1 species